rnacentral:rRNA from 1 species
AACGUAGGGGUCGAGCGUUAUCCGGAAUUACUGGGCGUAAAGCGCGUGCAGGCGGUUUCUCAAGUCGGACGUGAAAGCUCCUGGCUCAACUGGGAGAGGUCGUUCGAAACUGAGGGACUAGAGGAUGGUAGAGGCGAGUGGAAUUCCCGGUGUAGUGGUGAAAUGCGUAGAUAUCGGGAGGAACACCAGAGGCGAAAGCGGCUCGCUGGGCCAUCACUGACGCUCAGACGCGAAAGCUAGGGGAGAGAACGGGAUUAGAAACCCCCGUAGUCC